UACGUAGGGUGCGAGCGUUAAUCGGAAUUACUGGGCGUAAAGCGUGCGCAGGCGGUUUUGUAAGACAGGCGUGAAAUCCCCGGGCUCAACCUGGGAAUGGCGUUUGGGACUGGGUCGCUAGAGUGUGGCAGAGGGAGGUGGAAUUCCACGUGUAGCAGUGAAAUGCGUAGAGAUGUGGAGGAACACCGAUGGCGAAGGCGGAUCUCUGGGCCGAUACUGACGCUGAGGAGCGAAAGCGUGGGGAGCGAACAGG
rnacentral:rRNA from 1 species